GACGAACGCUGGCGGCAUGCUUUACACAUGCAAGUCGAACGGUAACAGGGUGCUUGCACCGCUGACGAGUGGCGAACGGGUGAGUAAUGCGUCGGAACGUGCCGAGUAGUGGGGGAUAACGCAGCGAAAGUUGUGCUAAUACCGCAUACGUACUGAGGUAGAAAGUGGGGGACCUUCGGGCCUCACGCUAUUCGAGCGGCCGACGUCUGAUUAGCUAGUAGGUGAGGUAAAGGCUCACCUAGGCGACGAUCAGUAGCGGGUCUGAGAGGAUGAUCCGCCACACUGGGACUGAGACACGGCCCAGACUCCUACGGGAGGCAGCAGUGGGGAAUUUUGGACAAUGGGCGAAAGCCUGAUCCAGCCAUGCCGCGUGUCUGAAGAAGGCCUUCGGGUUGUAAAGGACUUUUGUCAGGGAGGAAAUCCCUAGUGCUAAUAACACUGGGGGAUGACAGUACCUGAAGAAUAAGCACCGGCUAACUACGUGCCAGCAGCCGCGGUAA
rnacentral:rRNA from 1 species